CAGCGGCUCAAUAAAAACUAGAAACUUACCUCCAAUUAUUGUGUUUAAGAUUCUCAUCAACAACAUUUUCAGUGUCGCUUUCGAAUCAUUAAUUUACACUAAUUACAAAGCAAAUCAUUUGCUAAAAUGAUCCUUGUUUUAUUCUUAUAUUUAUUUAUUUAGAGCAAAAACUCUUCUUAUAAAGUUCUCAAACAUCCAAC
rnacentral:lncRNA from 1 species